GGUGGAGCGAUUUGUCUGGUUAAUUCCGAUAACGAACGAGACUCUAGCCUACUAAAUAGUUGGCGGAUCUUUACGUCCGCGUAACUUCUUAGAGGGACAAGCGGUUUUUAGCCGCACGAGAUUGAGCAAUAACAGGUCUGUGAUGCCCUUAGAUGUCCGGGGCUGCACGCGCGCUACACUGAAGGGAUCAACGUGCAAGUUCACCUUGCCCGAAAGGGCUGGGUAACCCGUUGAAAACCCUUCGUGACAGGGAUAGGGAAUUGCAAUUAUUUCCCUUGAACGAGGAAUUCCUAGUAAGUGUGGGUCAUCAGCUCGCGCUGAAUACGUCCCUGCCCUUUGUAC
rnacentral:rRNA from 1 species